AAGCAGCCCUGAACAGAAGUUGGCAGUCAGUGGAACAUGAAGAGAGCUGGGAGGGGGUCUUUCUUCAACAUCUUCUUCAUUCUGAUCGUUUGUUCACUUCCCCAGUGAAGUGAGAAAACUUGCUCCCCCUCCCUCCUGGUGUGAAGAGCCUGACACGUGCCAGACAGGAUUUGCUUCAGGGACAGGUGGGGAGUUCCACUGGGGAGGCUCAGCUGUCAAAACCUAACGCAGGUGUCCUGAGGUGAGCUCAGGAAGGACAGAAACCUGUGGAGCAGAAGGGUAAAAGCUCACUUGAUCUUGAUUUUCAGUGUAAAUACAGACCACGAUGGUGGGGUCUCACAAUUCUUCUGGCUUUUGGGGUUUUAAGAAAGACGUGUCAGAAAAGUUACUGCAGGGAUAAGUGGCUUGUGGUGGCCAAGUGUUCAUAGAGAUGUCAUAGGGUUAUAGAAAUAGAGAAUUUUAGGGGUUGGAAUGGACCUUACAGUUCAUCUAGUCCCAACCCCCCCCUGCCAUGGGCAGGAACACCACUAUACCAUGUUGCUCAAAGCCUCAUCCAGCCAGGGCCUGAACACCACCAGGGUUGGGGCAGACACUGUGUCCCUGGGCAACCUAUGUCAGUGUCUCACCACCCUUACAGGAAAAAACUUUUUUCUAAUAUCUAACCUAAACUUCCCCUCCUUCAGUUUGAACCCAUUACCCCUUGGCCUAUCAUUCCAGUUCCUAACAAAGAGUCCCUCUCCAGCUCCUUGUAGCCCCUUCAGAUAUUGAAAAGUUGCUCUGAGGUCUCCACACAGUCUUCUCUUCUCCAGGCUGAACAGGCCCAACUCCCUCAGCCUGUCCUCAUAGGGGAGAUGCUCCAGUCCUCUUAUCAACUUCAUGGCCUCCUCUGGACUUGCUCCAACAGUUCCAUCUCCUUCUUAUGUUGAGGACACCAAAACUGCAUGCAGUAUUCUAGGCGGAAAUGUCACUUUUUGGUCCAUCAAGGUUGGCUCUUCCUAUUGUUGUGAAGCAGAGUUCAUCAAGCAAAUUAAUUCUAUCAAAAGAUUGUUUGCCCACUAAUAGGGAACGUGAGCUGGGAUUAGACCCUAAUGAAACACAUUUUUUUUAC
rfam:Acanthisitta chloris contig16117, whole genome shotgun sequence.